CGUGCUGCGUCUGGUCGAACGGGGGCUGCGCGUCUGGAUCGUGCGGGGCUGAGGGGCAGGGGACGAGCGGACGCGGGAGGCGGCGAGCACUGCCGGCAGCCACUGAGGCGGCGAGCCGGCGCGGGGACGGGGAGUAAACCUGUCUGGCUCAGGCUGUCGCGGGGACGGGAGGCGGCGAGUAGGCGGACCGGAUGAGGUGACGAGCGCAGCAGCGGGCAGGGCGGCAAACCGGUAGGGGACGAGCGGACGACGGGACGAGAUGGCGAGCGCGUCGGGUCGAGUAGCAGAGGGGCGAGACGACCGAGGACGAGAGGCGGUGCGCGACCUGACCAGAGACGUAGGGUCCUAACUUUAUUUUCUACUUCUCUAUAAAAAGUAGGCACCGGCGUUGUCUUCACAGAUGGAGGAACAUCAUGAUUCAAAAGUUGAAACAUAUUACAAUCAACAAAGUGAACUAUAAAUACAGAAGAGAAUACUUUCAAAUGAAAACUAAAAGAGAUUCCACAACGGAGAAGAAGGUGGCAACUAGUUCAAUAUCUUCUGUGACUACUUCGUUCGGUAACUAAACCAUAAAAAAAAUAGAUAAAACAACAUAGAGAUUC
rnacentral:rRNA from 1 species